rnacentral:piRNA from 1 species
UACCAGCAUUCACACAGCAGUCUGCA